GGUGGUGGAGCUGUUGCUGGCCGAAAGGCAUUGUGCACGCUCUUCUGUACUUUUGUUUUUUCACCUGUGAACUUAAUGGGCUCGGUAAGUGGCUCUGAUCUCCUUCGGGAUUGAGAAAGGGCUAUGAUAACGAGUCAAAUCGUGGGCUUGGUAAGUGGCUCUGAUCUCCUCCGGGAUUGAGAAAGGGCUGCGAUAACGAGUCUGCGUAUGUAUGUAGGUUUGGUAUGGUCUAGAGAACAAAUAUAGGUCCGCGUUAAAGUUGAAGGGCUCUGAUCUCCUCCGGGAUUGAGAAAGGGCUAACUUUAUGCGCUCGCGAGUCUUGCUCGUGAUAACGGCCUAUGUAGUAUAUAAGUCCGCGCGUUAAAGUUGAACUAUGCUAGUGCGCUCUGAUCUCCUCCGGGAUUGAGAAAGGGCUAACUUUAUGCGCUCGCGAGUCUCGCUCGUGAUAAUGGCCUAUGUAGUAUAUAAGUCCGCGCGUUAAAGUUCUAGUGUGCUCUGAUCUCCUCCGGGAUUGAGAAAGGGCUAACUUUAUGUGCUCGCGAGUCUCGCUCGUGAUAACGGCCUAUGUAGUAUAUAAGUCCGCGCAUUAAACUAGUGGGCUCUGAUUGAGAAAGGGCUAACUUUAUGCGCUCGCGAGUCUCGCUCGUGAUAACGGCCUAUGUACUAUCUCGAAACUAUGCUAGUCGCCUCUUCCGAGGCUACGAGAACAAGCUUGCUUUCAUAUAAUCUUCGUUUAGAAAGUCCUAGAAUGUUUUUAUUAUUAUUACAACUUUCAGCAAUGGAUCUCUUGGCUCUCGCAUCGAUGAAGAACGCAGCGAAACGCGAUAUGUAAUGUGAAUUGCAGAUCUACAGUGAAUCAUCGAAUCUUUGAACGCACCUUGCGCUCCUUGGUAUUCCGAGGAGCAUGCCUGUUUGAGUGUCAGUGAAAUUUCUCAACCUCUCUUCUUAAUUGAAGAGGGUGCUUGGAUACUGGGGGUUUGCCAGAGACCUUUAUUGGACUUGGGCUCUCCUAAAAUGUAUUGGCUUGCGGGUCGACGACUAUUGACUUUGCGCGACAAGGCUUUCGGCGUGAUAAUGAUCGCCGUGUGCUGAAGUGCAUUGACUUUGGUUAAACUGUCCGUGCCUCUAAUAUUCACUCGAGGGGUUGACCUUUCACGGGUCCUCCUUGACGAUUUUGACUAAAUGACCUCAAAUCAG
rnacentral:rRNA from 1 species